rnacentral:rRNA from 1 species
GCUAAGAUGGUUCAGGGAGCCGGGGGAAUGCGAAGGGGGGGAGGGUUUUUGGGAAUGACUUGGCGUAAAGGGCGUGUCGGCGGGUGUGCAAGGCGGGUGUGAAAGCCUUGAGCGCAACUAAAGAAAUGCAGUCGAGACUGGAGGUCUUUAGGACCGGAGAGGAUAGUGGAAUUCCCAGUGUAGUGGUGAAAUACGUAGAGAUUGGGAAGAACACCAGUGGCGAAGGCGGCUAUCUGGACGGUUUCUGACGCUAAGACGCGAAAGCGUGGGGAGCAAACAGGAUUAGAUACCCCGGUAGUC